UUGUAUAAAAGCCGCCCUCGCUCUUCGUCACAUCCUCUUUCCAUUGCUCUUCUCGCGCUGAGAACCUUCUCCUCACGAUGAGAGCCAAGUGGAGGAAGAAGCGUAUGCGCAGACUGAAGCGUAAGAGGAGAAAGAUGAGGCAGAGGUCGAAGUAGGCCCUCUUCUUCUUCAGCUGUAUUCCCAUCGGAGCCUCCCCUGAUGACUGAAGCGUGCGGCUGAAGUGAAGCCUCCAUCAGUGGAUCGAAGGCCUGCACCUCAUUUCUGCUGACUGUGCGCCUCAUGGAGCCGGCUGUGAACGUCUGACUGGACGAGGCUAAGAUGCUGGACGACCUCCCGACAUCAGAAUUACAGUUGUUAAUGGACCAGAAUAAUACUGUCUUGUGGUGUAUUUAACAAUAAAUGGAACCCUUUUAAAAAUU